UACGAAGGGGGCUAGCGUUGCUCGGAAUCACUGGGCGUAAAGCGCACGUAGGCGGAUCUUUAAGUCAGGGUGAAAUCCUGGAGCUCAACUCCAGAACUGCCUUUGAUACUGGGGAUCUCGAGUCCGGGAGAGGUGAGUGGAACUCCGAGUGUAGAGGUGAAAUUCGUAGAUAUUCGGAAGAACACCAGUGGCGAAGGCGGCUCACUGGCCCGGUACUGACGCUGAGGUGCGAAAGCGUGGGAGCAACAGG
rnacentral:rRNA from 1 species